UUCAGACUUCAACUGUAUAUAUAUAUAUUAUUAUUAUUUUUGCUAAAAAUGUGGGGCUCAGAAUCUGCCCUGAAUGACGUCACCGAUUAUAACUCAUAGCCUACUGGCAACAUUUAGAGGUAGGCCCUGUGAAAUCUUAUUCUACAGUGGGUUGUGCUGUUUCAACUGGGUUAGGAUUAUCAGACUGGAAAAGUGAAAUAUGAAAAAAGAUUUUCAGUCAUGCACUGGCAGACAGUUCGAGAGAGUAAAAAUUGCAGCGCAUCCGAUUGAUAUUUGCUAGUGGGCUGAGGAUAUGUGACGAGGGAUGGAAGCGGUAGGAACACUUCCAGCAGUGUUAUCAGGUGCAAACAGAAGGAGUCAGGAUCUCCGACUCCACAGGGGUAAGACAUCAGAGGGCACACGCUUCCCGGUUCCCGCGUCACCGUCACCGCCACCGGGCCGUGACUCAUCCAGUUGGCAUUAACAAUGAUGAGCUCCCCAGUGUGCUAGGUCGGGGGAGAGAAACGGCACUUGACUCCGGAUCGAAUGUUCCUCUAAUACUCUUGGCCGUAACUACAUAUAAGGACACCGAGGUCUGUACCUUGAUAAUUGAUUCAAGAAAAAAAAAGUAUAUAUUUGUUUUAAUUUCAUCUUUAUUUAACUGUGUAGGCCAGUUGAGAACAAGUUCUCAUUUACUGCGACCUGGCCAAGAUAAAGCAAAGCAGUGCGACACAAACAACAACACAGAGUUAUACAUGGAAUAAACAAACGUACAGUCAAUAACACAAUAGAAAAGUCUAUAUACAGUGUGUGCAAAUGAGGUAAGAUUAGGGAGGGAAUGUUAAGUCCUGACCAGUGAAAGAGGUCGUUUGCCAUAGUAGAAUGAUCAGGGCAGGGGGGGUUUGUUUUGUAUGUAUUUUGGGUUUUCUGUUUCUAUGUGGGUUUGUUCUAGUUAUCUAUUUCUAUGUAUUGGUUUUCAUGUUCGGCCGGGUAUGGUUUCCAAUCAGAGGCAGGUGUCUUUCGUUGUCUCUGAUUGGAAGCCAUACUUAGGCAGCCUGUUUUUCCUUUUGGGUUGUGGGUCGUUUUUUUCCGUUUUAGUUUUAGUACCUGACGGGACUGUUGUUGGUCGUUUUCUUGUUUUGCUGUUUGAAGUGUUUUCAUGAAAGAAUUAAGAAUGAGCACUAUCCACGCUGCGUCUUGGUCUCCAUUCCAUGACCCCUGUGACAGGUAAGGCAAUAAAUAGGCCAUAAUGGCGAAAUAAUUACAAUAAACACUGGAGUGAUGUGCAGACGAUGAAUGUACAAGUAGAGAUACUGGGGUGCAAAGGUGCAAAAAAACAAAAACAAUAUGGGGAUGAGGUAGUUGGGUGGGCUAUUUACAGAUGGGCUAUGUACAGGUGCAAUGAUCUGUAAGCUGCUCUGACAGCUGAUGCUUAAAGUUAGUGAGGGAGAUAGUUGUCUCCAGAUUCAGUGAUUUUUGCAAUUCAUUCCAGUCAUUGGCAGCAGAGAACUUGAAGGAAAGGCGGCCAAAGAGGAAUUGGCUUUGGGGGUGACCAGUGAAAUAUACCUGCUGGAGCGCGUGCUACGGGUGGGUGCUGCUAUGGUGAUCGGUGAGCUGAGAUAAGAUGGGGCUUUACCUAGCAAAGACUAUAUAUAUAGUACCAGUCAAAAGUUUAGACACACCUACUCAUUUUUUUUUUUUUUUACUAUUUUCUACGUUGCAGAAUAAAAGUGAAGACAUCAAAACUAUGAAAUAACACACAUGGAAUCAUGUAGUAACCUAUAAAGUGUUUGGUUACUACAUGACGCCCCACAAGACGCCUCACAAGUCCUCAAAUGGCAGCUUCAUUAAAUAGUGCCCGCCUCACAAGUCCUCAACUGGCAGCUUCAUUAAAUAGUACCUGCAAAACACCAGACUCAACGUCAACAAUGAAGAGGUGACUCCAGGAUGCUGGCUUUCUAGGUAGAGUUGCAAAGAAAAUGACAUAUCUCAGACUGGCCAAUAAAAAGAAAAGAUUAAGAUAGGCAAAAGAACAGACACUGGACAGAGAAACUCUGCCUGGAAGGCCAGCAUCCCGGAGUCGCCUUUUCACUGUUAACAUUGAGACUGGUGUUAUGCGGGUACUAUUUCAUUAAGCUGCCAGUUGAGGACUUGUGAGGCGUCUGUUUCUCAAACUAGACACUCUAAUGUACUUGUCUUCUUGCUCAGUUGUGCACCGGGGCCUCCCACUCCACUUUCUAUUCUGGUUAGGGCCAGUGUGCGCUGUUCUGUGAAGGGAGUAUUACACAGCGUCGUACGAGAUCUUCAGUUUCUUGGCAAUUUCUCGCAUGGAAUAGCAUUUCUCAGAACAAGCAUAGAUUGACGAGUUUCAGAAGAAAGGUCUUUGCUUCUGGCCAUUUUGAGCCUGUAAUUGAACCCACAAAUGCUGAUGCUCCAGAUACUCAACUAUCUUAAAGAAGGCCAGUUUUAUUGCUUCACGUCCUGACCAAAACGAAUACAAUUGCUCCCUCUGCUGGUCAGGACGUGACAGUACCCCCCCCCCCCCUCAAGGUGCAGACCCCGGAAUGCACCUUAAAAAAGAAAACACCAAAAAAUCCCCAA
rnacentral:lncRNA from 1 species